AUGUCCCUGGCACUCUCCCAAAUCAAGCAAGGUAUGACCGGAGGAGGGGGGAAAAGGAGUGGCAGGAGGAAAAGAGGCGAGAAAAAUGGGGAGGAGGAGGAGGAGAGGGGGAAGGGAGGAGCGCUGCCCAGCAGGGCGGGCCUUCCAGCCUGUGAGGGAGCUUGGGCUUUCCUAAGGAAGGUUCCAGAAUGCCAUGUGCAGCUGUCCACCCAUCUUCCUGCACAUGUGUCAGACACCAGGUGGGGGAAGAAGGCUGCGGAACAGGAAGUGCUGGCCUUGUGGCUGCACGAAGAGCUCCUGGAGCGGCUUGGCCAGCGCAGCUGGCUGGGGGUGGGCAGGAGCUGCCCCCAGCUGCACCCCGAGCAGGUCUCCGUGGUUCUUCCCAGGUGCCCGGCAGACCACCUGAGUCCAGGCUGGGGCUCGGGGGCCGGGGUGGACGGAUUUGUAAGGUGACGUGUCCCUUUACGUAGGACUGCUCAGUGCCUGGGAGAGACCCCCUCCACCCAGAGGGAAUCGACUGAACAGGGAAGCGCGAGGCACCAGGAAGCACCUCUGAAGUCAUCGGUUCAGAAGAGACCCUGCAGGCCAGGCCCUACUGGCCUGAGCUCCCGCACGCUGGCGUGGCCGGUCCCGGAGGCCCACAGGGCCGCAGCUGGCCCCCGCACCGUGAAGGCGGGACCGCUACGGUGCCUGGGCCACGCCAGCUCAGGGUGCUUCCCCUUUGGAGGCUCCAGGAGUGGGGCGAUUUCUGAGCAGACUCAAACCAAGGAGCGGAAGGAAACACUGCCGCAGUCUGGGGGAGCCUCAGCAGCCCCGAGUUCCUGCGGGUGCUGAAGGAACUGUCAAGGGAGGUCAUCGCUGACAGCAGAGCAGGCUGGGGCGCCUGUCCCCUCCAGCUCCCCCUUCCGGCAGAGGGGGCUGUCUUCAGGCGCACAGCCCAGUGGGGUGCUGCUGCAGGGGGCAUUCAGAAGCUCUGGGGGUCUCCUGAGGGCAAAGGCAC
rnacentral:lncRNA from 1 species